AUAGUGGUCGUAUAAGUUAAAUAUGUCGUCUUUCCAAGUCGAAGAUCUACGUGUGUAGUUGCUAUA
rnacentral:tRNA from 1 species